GACAUUAGAUUGGUAAAUGUUUACUUGUAGAAAGAAGGAUUUCCUGCAUUCCAUAUACUGGCUGAUAAACUGUUUCUUAGGUAUAUUUAUAAAUGGGAUCACAUUCUUUCUUCCUCUCAGGAGUGUUCCUAUUUGGGAUGUCAAUCAGUCUCUUAGCACCAUUCAGGAGGAGCCCAAGAAGGCAUUGUAGCUUCCAUCACAUUUUCUGGGUUUUCAUUCCAGUUAACAGAAUGUAAACACUCCUCAAUGGACAAGAGUCAGCUGUCUGAAAUCUUGCAAUUUAUCAAAACUUUUUCUGUGGAUUUUGUUCAUAUGAUAUACAUUUUGGAAAUGGUCAACAUUUCAUGGAAUGAAGGAUUUUUGUUUCAAUGACAAUAUGGCGGGGAGAUCUCUGUUGAAUGAGAAGCUAGCUUCAUGUGACCCUGGGGUGCUGCAACUUUCACAAAUGCAUGCUGGUUGCCAAGCGCCUGAAUUCCGAUUACAUGAUCUUGGGGAUGCUGCAAUGGAUGGUUGUAAGUGUGAAGGCUGGUGUUCUACAACUUAACCAGUGUGUCUUGAGGUGAAUUUUCACAUGUUACGGGAACAUUCCUUUCCCCCUUUCCUCUACUAAAAUGUUCGUGGUGAUGAAACACAAUAAAGAUCAGAGU